UACAGAGGUGGCAAGCGUUGUUCGGAAUUACUGGGCGUAAAGGGCGCGUAGGCGGUUUUGUAAGUCCCGCGUGAAAUCCCCCGGCUCAACUGGGGAACUGCGCGGGAAACUGCGAGGCUUGAGUUCGGGAGAGGGAAGCGGAAUUCCGGGUGUAGCGGUGAAAUGCGUAGAGAUGUGGAGGAACACCAAUGGCGAAGGCAGCCUUCUGGGCCAACACUGACGCUCAUGCACGAAAGCGUGGGGAGCAAACAGG
rnacentral:rRNA from 1 species